AACUGGUGUCUCUGUGGAGGAAACUUCUGAACAGUACGUGACACUUUGAAUCAUUCUGAAUGAAUGUGACAGCUGACAACAUUAUAUCUGGAUAACGUAACAAUAACGUGAGAUGAUGCGGAAAAAACGACGCUCCUCCGUGGAUAAAGUGGUGGAAGGAGCCAAUACUACUACUAAUAGUAUUACUAAGGCAAAGAAGAGUCGAACCACUGGUCGCCCUCCUAAAGAAUCUGUUCCAGUCGAUACAAAUCAAAGCGUAUUUACCAAAUUUUUGAGAGAGGCGGGUGUCACCGUGAAGCGCGGUGCCACAUCCAACGAGAUUGCUGUCGACCAAGUAGUUUUCCAAAAAAGGAUUGAACAGCAACUAAGGAAGAAUCCUAAUUACCCCGGAAUCAUACAGGAAUUCAUCACAGGAUUAGAGUCUCACAUUGAGGACCCUGACAAUUUCAGGAAUUGCCUCCUUCCAUGUGUUCCACAGUUGUCAGAUGGAGAUGGCAGUUCAGUCAGCUCAUUCCAGGAAAGUCUCCUACGCAUGGUGUUGGGGAUUGACAUUCUGCAGACUUCCACCAUUAACACCUUGCUUGAGAAACUCCCUGAAUUUAUGUUGGAUGGCACUGGAGACGCAGGAGUCAGUGUUCCACGCAUCAUUAUUAACCAGCUCAAAUGGCUCGACAGAGUCGUUGACAGCAAGGAGUUGGCAGCUAAGCUCAUGGAGCUGGUGUCAGUUGCACCGGUGGACGUUCAACGAGACAUCAUCACCAGCCUGCCAGAGAUACUUGAAGAUUCCCAGCACAAUGACAUAGCCAGGGAGCUCAACUCCUUACUCCAGACGAACACUCAGCUGACUGUCCCCAUCCUGGAUGCUCUCUCUAGUCUUAACCUCAGUUCCUCGCUGCUGACUGAGGUUCGUGGAGCAGUCAUGACCACCCUGGCCGCCGUGCAACUGGAAGACCUACCUGUGGUCGUCAAGUUCAUCCUGCACUCUGUCUCCGUAUCGGAUGCAUGUGAGGUAGUGAAUCAUCUUCGUAAGAAGCUGGAGCUGGAGCAGUGCGUUCUCCCUCCUGUGCUGCAGUUGUCUCAGAGCCGCACGAGGAGCGACGGAGCAGCAGCGGUGGCUUCAACUGCUGGGAGCAGUGUUGCGCUGAUAUUGGACGGCAUUAAGUCCGCAGUGAGAUUCCAGAAAACUAUUUCUGAGGCUUGGCUCAAGGCAAUAGAUUCUGUGGAUGAAUCAGAGAAUCAUAAGGUAAUUGAUCUGCUGGUGCUGUUCAUCCUCCACUCCACCAACGCCAACCAGAGCCGACGGGGGGCGGAAAGGGUGCUGAAGUCUAAAGUGAGGACCGGACUGAUCCAGGAGGCUCUGCUGCAGAAGACCUUCAGGGACCAUUCUCAGGUCAUGCGAGGGUAUUUCCCCUCAAUCCUGGCUCUGACUCAGUGUCUGUUACGCUCUCCUGACCCGUGUGUGGUGCCUUUUGGGGGACACAUGUACCAGCUCUCUUUCACAGAGUUUGACUCUUACUGCCAACAGGAGGUGGUGGGCUCUCUAGUGACCCAUGUCUGCAGUGGUGUGGGUGGGGAGGUGGACAUGGCUCUGGAGCUACUCUGUGGUCUGGUCACAGAGAAACCCUCGGAAAUGGCUCUGUAUGCUGUCUUUGUUAAGGGGAUUUUGGACUACAUGGACAACCUCACACCCCAGCAGAUCCGCAGACUCUUCCACCUCUUGAGCAGACUGGCUUUUGGGCAGCAGCAGCAAGGAUCUCACAUCCAGGAUGACAUGCACAUCGUGAUCCGUAAACAGCUCUCCAGCACGGUGCCCAAGUACAAGCGUAUUGGCAUCAUCGGGGCGGUCAUGAUCGUAGGCAGCAUGGGGGCCUUAAAGCCUAAAGGGAAGGAAGUGAAGGAUCAGCCGUUACCUCAGGAGACAUUCAGACAGGUGACAGCCCUGUUGGAGCUGGUGAGGUCGAGCAGUGAUAGCUCACCUGAGGCUGCAGCACUGUACUACGAUGAACUGGCCAAUCUCAUCCUGAGCUCUACCCUGGACCCUCAGGUUCAGGAGAACAUCGCAAAGAGUGUUCUUGAUGACUUUCAGGAUGACUUUGUGGUGGAUCUGGGGAAGGAAAUAACAGGUUCCUUCCCUUUCCCGGCUCGUCUGAUGUACAACCUGGAGGAGGAGGAGAGUCAGGAAGGCAUCGCAAUCAACCUGCUCCCUCUACUGGCCAAAGACAUUCACAACAACCGUGAGCAGCUGAGUCAAACCAAGAGGGCAAACAAGCGAGUGUCUCCUCUCUGUCUGUCUCCUUUUUUUCGCCUCCUGAGACUGUGUGAGGAGAAACAGCAUAACGGAGACCUAGAGGAGAUUGAUGCUCUGCUUGGCUGCCCUCUGGUCAUAACAGGCUUGGAUGUAGUCGAGAAAAUCAACAGCCUGUCUAAGGCUGAGAGGGAGUUCCUCUGUAAUUUACUCUUUUUCACCAUCAACUGGUUUAGAGAGGUCAUAAAUGCGUUUUGUAGACUAAAAGAAACUGAGAUGAAGAUGAAAGUGAUGACUCGUCUGCAGAAUAUCACUUACCUUCAGACACUUUUGGAGAGGGCUUUGGCCGGAACAUCUGGCUAUGUUCCACCUGUUGCUAACUUUGAUGGAGAAACCUCAGAUGCAGCAACAUUUACUCCCACUGCUGCUCCUGGUAAUAAGGCAAAGAAAGAUGGUACAGGAAAGAAGAAGAGGAAGGCUCCUAGUAAGAGUUCCUCAGAAAACAGCUCACUGCUCGAGGAGCCGACUGAAGCAAAUGAAACUCAGCAGGAGCAGCCAGAGAAGGAGAAGGAAAAGGAAAAGGAGAAGGAGAAGGAAACCUGGCAAGGAGUCAGUCUGGUGUCCUACAGACAGUUUUUCAGGGAGCUGGACAUGGAGGUGCUCAGUGUGCUGCAGUGUGGCCUGUUGUCUCGCUCACUGUUGGACUCUGAGCUCCAAACCAAAGUGCAAGAGGAGGUCCUGCUGGGUCCUGCAGAGCUGGUCUUCCUGCUGGAGGAUAUGCUUCGCAAAGUGGAGUUCAGUCUUACCUCUGCCCCUGUGAAGAGAAUGCCUUUCUUCAAGACACGGACGGAUAAAAGUGUGGGCUUCUCCCAUCUGCAGCAGAGGAGCGCUAAAGAUAUCGCCGCCUGCUGUGUCGAGCUGUUGCCGGCCCUCUGCUCACACUUAGAGAACUGUCACAACCAUUUUCAGACACUGCUUUCUGAGAACAACGGUGUUGUGGAUGGACCUGCCACAGAUGUGCAGGAGCAGCAGCUGAUGUCAUCGUGUUACCAGCUGCUCCUGCAGGUCCUGAACACCACCUUCAGCUGGUCUGGAUUCAGUUUGCCAGGCCAGCGAGGUUUACUGAAGAAAGCUCUGGGAGUUUUGGCCGAACGACUCAAGGGACGUUCUGAGCUGACCCUGGAGCAGCUUGUUAAACACAGCUUUGAAUACCUGCUGAACUUCGGCAGCACGAUGCCAAGUCUCAGCACAGCUCUGUGUCUCUCCCAGCUUCUGUCCACUGUGUCUCAGAAGGGAGGGAACCCUUCGGCCUACAGAGAGCAAACUGCUUCCCUAGCAAAACGUUUCCUGAGCCAAGACUGGGUGACAGCCAGCGGAGAGAAAGAGCGUGGGACCAAAUUCAAUGAAGCACUUCACACUCUCCUAAGAAUCUACCUGGAUAAUGUUGAUGAUGUUCUGAAGGCAGUGGAGGAGAUAGCAGGGGAAAGAAUCCCUGAGCUCCUCAAUGCAUCGAAGAAUGAAAGCUCUCCGACAUGGCCGACUCUCAACAGGCAAACAUUCCUAGUUUUCUACAAAGUGAUGAUGGGAGAACUAGAAAAAGCUGCGAGGAAGAUUCCUGCGAGCAAAAUCAGUGACGACACCGAGGCUCAGAGCGAGAAGCUGCUGACAUGGAACCUGGCUGUCAGAGACUUUCACGUCCUGGUCAACCUAGUUAAAGUCUUUGAUUCAAGGCCAGUGCUGAACGUGUGCCUGAAGUAUGGCCGCCUUUUCUUGGAGUCCUUCCUGAAGUUGGGAAUGCCGCUGCUGGACCACAGUUUCAAAAGGCACAAGGAGGACGUCCAGAGUCUGCUGAAGACGUUCCAGCUCAGCACCAGGCAGCUCCAUCACAUGUGUGGAUACUCUAAGAUUCACCAGGAUACCAGCCUGACCAACCACGUGCCGGCCUUGAAGAAGAGCCUGGAGCUGUUUGUGUACAGAGUGAAGGCCACGCUCACGCUCAACAACUGCCAGGAGGCUUUUUGGAUUGGCAACCUGAAGAACCGCAACCUGAAGGGUGAAGAGAUUCUUUCUCAGAGGUCACAAGGAAGUGAUGAUGAUGAAGAGGAGGAGCGUUCAGUGCUUCCUCAGGAAAUGUCAGAGGAUGAGGGCCAAGAGAGCAACUCGGAGGAACCCAUGGUGAUAAAUGGAGAGGGAAAUGUGGCUGAAGAAGAUAUCACAGAUGACUCUGAGUAACACUAAACGCAAAGUACACAAUAAAUGUACCUCCACAUGUUUCCUUUUCUGGGCAAAAUGUAGCAACUGAAAAAAGAGCACAGCACCAGGACUCAACACUGAGACCUUUGUUCCCGGCAAAUCCCAUAAAGAGGGACAGCAGCGAUUAGUGUAAGCUCCAAAUGAAGGAAAACAGCCUCUUUGAUACUCUGAGGUCCUCGGGGCUCAUUUGUAAACAUGUCGGAGCAGAACUUGGAAGAUGAUUCACCCCUACACAAAACUCAGGAUUUAUAGAAGAAAGUUUUAUGGCAGAGUAAACAUUCUUCUAUGAAUCACAUCUGUAAAAUCUAAACUGUGUAAAAGCAGCGAGGUUUGCAUGGCAUUGAUAUUAAACAG